UCAACGAGAACACAAAUAAUAUUAAUAAAAAGACUGACCUGAAGAAUCUGAGUGUUGUGUAUAGUUACCUGUUAUCCCUAGACCGAUGUCGUGACGAUAACAAUACAGUGGAUGUCAUUACUUGAUCUUGUUACUUUUCUGUGGUUCACCUUAUUUUGUGACAGUAACCUAUAAGAAGUGAUUUGACUCCACACCAGCUCGUUUCUGUUUCAUUGUUAAGCAUAGAAAAAUAAUGUUUUAAAUGUGAUUGUAUAACUUCCUGAUGCUCUCCUUGUUAGUUUUAUAGUACACUUGUCGGAUCAUCCUGAAGAAGAAACGCAAUCAGUUUCGAAAUAUAGAUGUAAAUGA